GGUAACUGCGGACCUGAGGCAGCGGUAAGACGUGGGGGGCGGUCGUUGGCCGGAAUGAUUGGGCGUAAAGGGCUUGUAGGCGGUUGGUGGCGUCUGCUGGGAAAAUCCGGGGCUCAACACCGGACUUGCAGUGGGUACGGGCAGACUAGAGUAUGGUAGGGGAGACUGGAAUUCCUGGUGUAGCGGUGAAAUGCGCAGAUAUCAGGAGGAACACCGAUGGCGAAGGCAGGUCUCUGGGCCACUACUGACGCUGAGAAGCGAAAGCAUGGGGAGCGAACAGGAUUAGAUACCCUGGUAGUC
rnacentral:rRNA from 1 species